GCCUCCGUGGCGGAAUUGGUAGACGCGCUCGACUCAAAAUCGAGUUCCUUUGGAGUGUCGGUUCGAGUCCGACCGGAGGUACCA
rnacentral:tRNA from 1 species